rnacentral:rRNA from 1 species
UACAGAGGGUGCAAGCGUUGUUCGGAAUUAUUGGGCGUAAAGCGCGUGUAGGCGGCAUGGCAAGUCGGGUGUGAAAGCCCUCAGCUCAACUGAGGAAGUGCGCCCGAAACUGCUUUGCUUGAGUGCUGGAGAGGGUCGCGGAAUUCCCCAAGUAGAGGUGAAAUUCGUAGAUAUGGGGAGGAACACCGGUGGCGAAGGCGGCGACCUGGGACAGUAACUGACGGCUG